UACGUAGGUGGCAAGCGUUGUCCGGAAUUAUUGGGCGUAAAGCGCGCGCAGGCGGUUCCUUAAGUCUGAUGUGAAAGCCCCCGGCUCAACCGGGGAGGGUCAUUGGAAACUGGGGAACUUGGGUACUGAAGAGGAAAGCGGAAUUCCACGUGUAGCGGUGAAAUGCGUAGAGAUGUGGAGGAACACCAGUGGCGAAGGCGGCUUUCUGGUCAGUAACUGACGCUGAGGCGCGAAAGCUGGGGAGCAAACAGGAUUAGAUACCCUUGUAGU
rnacentral:rRNA from 1 species